AACCUUAUACUUCGGGGGGCCGGCGUUGAAUAGCAGUUCCAUUGCGGAUCAGCUUUUCUCCCCGCCCUGUCUGAAUAUUACCCAUGCUUUUUGCGUACCCAUUGUUUCCUCGGCAGGCUUGCCUGCCAGCAGGACCCCUUUUAAAACCUUUUGCAAUUGCAGUCAGCGUCAGAAAAAAAACUUAAUAGUUA
rnacentral:misc_RNA from 1 species